AUUUACAAAAGAAAAACAAGUCUUUCUCUAAAAAAUAUUUCUCUCUCUAAAAAGCUUGAAGAAGAAAGGUUCAAUCUAGGGUUUCAAUCAAGUCUCCUAAUCUUCCAUUGAAGUUAAGCAAUUGUAGUUUUCAUCAACGAAGCUUUUCCUCCGCAUGGAUUUUUCAACUUCUCUAAUUUUCAAAUUGGUUGCAUAUAAUGAAGAGUUUGACAAAUGGAUCAAAACAUGAUGGCGGAUCUCUUUGCAAAGGAAGAUGGUA